GAUCGCUUUUAAUCCUUUCUGGGAGGGGUUUGCUGCCACUGAGGUGCCACCCAGGUGUCCCCAGGUGCCACCCAGGUGUCCCCAAGUGCCACCCAGAUGUCCCUCAGGUGUCCCCAGGUGUGCCCAGCUGUCACUCGGGGUGCAGACAGGUGUCACCCAGGUGUGCCCAGUUGUCCCCAGGUCUCACUCAGGUGUCACCCAGGUGUCCCCCAGGUGUCCCCAGGUGUCACUCAGGUGUCCCCAAGUGUGCCCAGGUGUCACUCAGGUGUCUCCAGGUGUGCCCAAGUGUCCCC